GCACGUACGCCAGUAUGUGUGGAGCCGUCCUUGAAAUACCACCCUUGUAGUGUUGAUGUUCUAACGUCGACCCCUUAUCGGGGUUGCGGACAGUGCCUGGUGGGUAGUUUGACUGGGGCGGUCUCCUCCCAAAGAGUAACGGAGGAGCACGAAGGUGGGCUAAUCACGGUUGGACAUCGUGAGGUUAGUGCAAUGGCAUAAGCCCGCUUGACUGCGAGAAUGACAAUUCGAGCAGGUGC
rnacentral:rRNA from 1 species